CUACGGGUUGCAGCAGUGAGGAAUAUUGGACAAUGGAGGCAACUCUGAUCCAGCCAUGCCGCGUGCAGGAAGACGGCCCUACGGGUUGUAAACUGCUUUUAUACAGGAAGAAACGCCGCUACGUGUAGCGGUUUGACGGUACUGUACGAAUAAGGAUCGGCUAACUCCGUGCCAGCAGCCGCGGUAAUACGGAGGAUCCAAGCGUUAUCCGGAAUCAUUGGGUUUAAAGGGUCCGUAGGCGGUUUUUUAAGUCAGAGGUGAAAUCCUGCAGCUCAACUGUAGCAUUGCCUUUGAUACCGAAAGACUUGAGUUAUUGUGAAGUAGUUAGAAUGUGUAGUGUAGCGGUGAAAUGCAUAGAUAUUACACAGAAUACCGAUUGCGAAGGCAGAUUACUAACAAUAUACUGACGCUGAGGGACGAAAGCGUGGGUAGCGAACAGGAUUAGAUACCCCGGUAGUC
rnacentral:rRNA from 1 species